CUAUGGUGCUGUCCUGAUAUUUCUCUCUCCUCAGGUUGUUCUAUGAUACUGUCCUGAUAUAUCUCUCUCCUCAGGUUGUUCUAUGAUGCUGUCCUGAUAUAUCUCUCUCCUCAGGUUGUUCUAUGAUGCUGUCCUGAUAUAUCUCUCUCCUCAGGUUGUUCUAUGAUGCUGUCCUGAUAUAUCUCUCUCCUCAGGUUGUUCUAUGAUGCUGUCCUGAUAUAUCUCUCUCCUCAGGUUGAUCUAUGAUGCUGUCCUGAUAUAUCUCUCUCCUCAUGUUGUUCUAUGGUGCUGUCCUGAUAUAUCUCUCUCCUCAGGUUGUUCUAUGAUGCUGUCCUGAUAUAUCUCUCUCCUCAGGUUGUUCUAUGGUGCUGUCCUGAUAUAUCUCUCUCCUCAGGUUGAUCUAUGAUGCUGUCCUGAUAUAUCUCUCUCCUCAGGUUGUUCUAUGAUGCUGUCCUGAUAUAUCUCUCUCCUCAGGUUGUUCUAUGAUGCUGUCCUGAUAUAUCUCUCUCCUCAGGUUGUUCUAUGAUGCUGUCCUGAUAUAUCUCUCUCCUCAGGUUGAUCUAUGAUGCUGUCCUGAUAUAUCUCUCUCCUCAUGUUGUUCUAUGGUGCUGUCCUGAUAUAUCUCUCUCCUCAGGUUGUUCUAUGAUGCUGUCCUGAUAUAUCUCUCUCCUCAGGUUGUUCUAUGAUGCUGUCCUGAUAUAUCUCUCUCCUCAGGUUGUUCUAUGAUGCUGUCCUGAUAUAUCUCUCUCCUCAGGUUGUUCUAUGGUGCUGUCCUGAUAUAUCUCUCUCCUCAGGUUGCUCUAUGGUGCUGUCCUGAUAUAUCUCUCUCCUCAGGUUGCUCUAUGGUGCUGUCCUGAUAUAUCUCUCUCCUCAGGUUGCUCUAUGGUGCUGUCCUCCUAAUAGCUCUCUCUCUUCAGGUUGCUCUAUGGUGCUGUCCUGAUAUAUCUCUCUCCUCAGGUUGUUCUAUGAUGCUGUCCUGCUAUAUAUCUCUCUCCUCAUGUUGUUCUAUGGUGCUGUCCUGAUAUAUCUCUCUCCUCAUGUUGUUCUAUGAUGCUGUCCUGAUAUAUCUCUCUCCUCAGGUUGUUCUAUGAUGCUGUCCUGAUAUAUCUCUCUCCUCAGGUUGUUCUAUGAUGCUGUCCUGAUAUAUCUCUCUCCUCAGGUUGUUCUAUGAUGCUGUCCUGAUAUAUCUCUCUCCUCAGGUUGUUCUAUGAUGCUGUCCUGAUAUAUCUCUCUCCUCAUGUUGUUCUAUGGUGCUGUCCUGAUAUAUCUCUCUCCUCAUGUUGUUCUAUGGUGCUGUCCUGAUAUAUCUCUCUCCUCAGGUUGCUCUAUGGUGCUGUCCUCCUAAUAGCUCUCUCUCUUCAGGUUGCUCUAUGGUGCUGUCCUGAUAUAUCUCUCUCCUCAGGUUGUUCUAUGGUGCUGUCCUGAUAUAUCUCUCUCUCUCCUCAGGUUGCUCUAUGGUGCUGUCCUGAUAUAUCUCUCUCCUCAGGUUGUUCUAUGGUGCUGUCCUCCUAAUAUAUAUCUCUCUUCAGGUUGCUCUAUGGUGCUGUCCUGAUAUAUCUCUCUCCUCAUGUUGUUCUAUGGUGCUGUCCUCCUAAUAUCUCUCUCUUCAGGUUGCUCUAUGGUGCUGUCCUGAUAUAUCUCUCUCCUCAGGUUGUUCUAUGGUGCUGUCCUCCUAAUAUCUCUCUCUCUUCAGGUUGCUCUAUGGUGCUGUCCUGAUAUAUCUCUCUCCUCAUGUUGUUCUAUGGUGCUGUCCUCCUAAUAUCUCUCUCUAUUCAGGUUGCUCUAUGGUGCUGUCCUGAUAUAUCUCUCUCCUCAGGUUGUUCUAUGGUGCUGUCCUCCUAAUAUCUCUCUCUCUUCAGGUUGCUCUAUGGUGCUGUCCUGAUAUAUCUCUCUCCUCAGGUUGUUCUAUGGUGCUGUCCUGAUAUAUCUCUCUCCUCAGGUUGCUCUAUGGUGCUGUCCUCCUAAUAUCUCUCUCUAUUCAGGUUGCUCUAUGGUGCUGUCCUGAUAUAUCUCUCUCCUCAGGUUGUUCUAUGGUGCUGUCGUAAUAUCUCUCUCUCUCUUCAGGUUGCUCUAUGGUGCUGUCCUGAUAUAUCUCUCUCCUCAGGUUGUUCUAUGGUGCUGUCCUGAUAUAUCUCUCUCUCUCUUCAGGUUGCUCUAUGGUGCUGUCCUGAUAUAUCUCUCUCCUCAGGUUGUUCUAUGGUGCUGUCCUCAUAUAUCUCUCUCCUCAGGUUGCUCUAUGGUGCUGUCCUGAUAUAUCUCUCUCCUCGGGUUGAUCUAUGAUGCUGUCCUAAUAUCUCUCUCUCUUCAGGUUGCUCUAUGGUGCUUUCCUCCUAAUAUCUCUCUCUCUUCAGGUUGCUCUAUGGUGCUGUCCUAAUAUCUCUCUCUCCAGGUUUCUCUAUGGUGCUGUCCUAUUCUCUCUCUCUCUUCAGGUUUCUCUAUGGUGCUGUCCUAUUCUCUCUCUCUCUUCAGGUUUCUCUAUGGUGCUGUCCUCCUAAUAUCUCUCUCUCCAGGUUGCUCUAUGGUGCUGUCCUAAUAUCUCUCUCUCCAGGUUGCUCUAUGGUGCUGUCCUAAUAUCUCUCUCUCUUCAGGUUGCUCUAUGGUGCUGUCCUAAUAUCUCUCUCUCUUCAGGUUUCUCUAUGGUGCUGUCCUAAUAUCUCUCUCUCUUCAGGUUUAUCUAUGGUGCUGUCCUAAUAUCUCUCUCUCUUCAGGUUUCUCUAUGGUGCUGUCCUAUUCUCUCUCUCUUCAGGUUGCUCUAUGGUGUUGUCCUAAUAUCUCUCUCUCCAGGUUGCUCUAUGGUCCUGUUUACUAGCCAGAGGGUUGGUAACAGACAGGGCCCUUGGAUUUCCAACAUGUUGUCAUCUCUGUUUGCUUUUUCCCCCCACCUCGGCAAACAUGUCAUUAGGUGAGCUUCCAGCGUGUGUUUAAACCGACGAGCUAGGUUUGCCCAAAGCCAGCGCUAAUGGAUUCUGAACACAACUCUGACCUGCUGGAGGAGCUGAGCUAGCUAACUGAGGUAACCGAGCAGGAACCCAGCAGGUUUUACCAGUGCUGUCAUGGUCACCAGGAUAUACUAGCCUACUUCCCACUGGGCACAUACGUCAAUUCAACGUCUAGUCGACGAUGAGUGGGUUGUUUUGGAUUACAUACUGCUAAUGCUAACCGUGUCUAGGGGAAUAUCUCAAUUGCAUACUCCUCGCAUCCUCUCUC